rnacentral:rRNA from 1 species
UACAGAGGUCCCAAGCGUUGUUCGGAUUUACUGGGCGUAAAGGGUGCGUAGGUGGCGGGGUAAGUCUGGUGUGAAAGCUCCGAGCUCAACUCGGAAAAGCAUUGGAAACUAUCCCGCUGGAGGGUCGGAGGGGAGACUGGAAUUCUCGGUGUAGCAGUGAAAUGCGCAGAUAUCGGGAGGAACACCGGUGGCGAAGGCGGUUCUCUGGGCCUUACCUGACGCUGAGGAGCGAAAGCGUGGGGAGCGAACAGG